UAAAUAUAUCAAGGUUGAAUUAAAUGCAGUUGUGCAAUAAUUUCCACCAAAAAAGUGAGUGGAUGCAUGUCAAAUUUAAUGAUUUAAGUAAAUUAUUCAACAAGGAGUACCUAUUGUACAUGGAAAUUUUUUCCUGGUCAAAUUUGUAUAUAUAAGGAUGAUUUUUUCAGGAUAUUUCAUUAAUUGUUUGUGCACUGUUGUUAACAGUAUUAUCUUGCUCUGAUAGUAGUAUUUGUGGUUCGUGUGAUUUUUCAUUUCAUUUAUUUUUUUCAUUUUAAAUACUACACUGUUGUUAACAGUAUUAUCUUGCUCUGAUAAUAGUAUUUGUGGUUCGUGUGAUUUUUCGUUUCAUUUUAUUUUUUUUUCAUUUUAAAUACUGCACUGUGGUUCGUGGAAAUUUUUUGUUUCAUUUUAAUUUUUUUCAUUCAAAAUACCUGCUUAUUCAAUAUGAAUUCUUCAAUUGAUAAUGUUGCAUCUCGUCCUGGUGUUUCUGGUAAUGAUUUAAUGGAAAUAGGAGUAGGUUCCAACCAGAGUGAAACCAAAAGGCAGAUGGUAGCUUUCUUUUCCAUCAAGUUACUCAAUAAGGAGAUGUCAUUCUUACACUUAUUAAAAAUAGUUGAAAUAACUACAUUGAUCAAAUGGAAUGCAAAGAUAGAAGAAAAAAGACCACAUGAUGGUGUAAUCAUCAUAAGUUUUCCGUUUCAAAUUAAGGGUGAAACGAUUAUGGAGAAUAUGGAGCAAGUGUCUCGAAUAGACAUGAGACACUACAUUACAAUAUCAAAGGUGGAUUAUUUGACACAGGAAAAUCGUAAUCACAUGGAAAUAUUACGGUCAAAGUAUAUACGAAAGGGUAUAACUUGUUCCGUUUGCAAUUACCAAAGAUUUAAUACAGAAAAGGAAUUGAAAAACCAUCAGAAAACUAGAAACCAUUUAUUACGAGUAAUAGAAAAAUUUUAUGACGAAAAUUCGGAAUACAUUUGCCUCACUGGUGAUUCCGCAUUUAAAAAUCGUAUAUCAACCCUGAUUUUUGUAAACAAGGAACCUGAGAUCACUAUAAAUCACUUUUUCGAAAAAAUCAAAUUGUCUUUAGUGAAUUAUUUGGAAACUCGUUUGAGUAUUGAUCCAAGUUUGAAAUGCAACUUUAAUUUAUU